UACGAAGGGGGCUAGCGUUGUUCGGAAUCACUGGGCGUAAAGGGCGCGUAGGCGGCCUUGUAAGUCGGGGGUGAAAGCCUGUGGCUCAACCACAGAAUUGCCUUCGAUACUGCGAGGCUUGAGACCGGAAGAGGUCAGUGGAACUGCGAGUGUAGAGGUGAAAUUCGUAGAUAUUCGCAAGAACACCAGUGGCGAAGGCGGCUGACUGGUCCGGUUCUGACGCUGAGGCGCGAAAGCGUGGGGAGCGAACGGG
rnacentral:rRNA from 1 species